rnacentral:lncRNA from 1 species
CGAAUUCCCUUAAUCCGCAACAGAAAGUACAGUAGCCCGAUCGAUCGAGAUAGUCUUAAAGCCGAUCCCUUUCGGUCUUGCAUCUGCAGAGAUGCCUGAAAAGAGCUCUGAAGCGAACCAGGAUCGAACAUGAUGCGACACCCGGCAGGAUUAGGAUCGUGCUUGGCUUCAGAGCUGUAUACUGAUGGAUGGCCUGCCCGGACACAUCUCCAGCCUCUUUUCGCCUGGACCUCUCGUGCAUCAGCAUCAUCACAUCUGAUUACUGUGUCGUAUGAUCAAAACAAAGAUCGAUCACCGUGGGGCCAUGGAAGGUUGGAUGAUGAGUUGAAUUAAUCAAGUUAAUGCAGGGAGGUAGCUGACAUGUUCGUCUCCUCGAUCCUUCUUGGCCUCAUCCAAUCCAGUAGCAACACCACGAGAAACUGAAACAAAUCACACUGAAAACAACGCCAUGGCGAAAUAAAUACCGAAUUAAUCUGCAAUGUUCAUGAUGCAAUAAACAAUCCCUUUCCAACUGAUUUAUUUUCCGACUCGUGUGUUACAAUACUCAAUCGAGUACCCAAUGAAUGCAUCUUUUCUUGGUCGAUCGAGUUACAACCUCAAAGUUUGCAGCACUCCUAUUCCCACACCUGCAUAGCAAUUACUAGUAAGAUAGACACCAUAAUAUGAUUGACACCGAUCAAGAUCAGAAAAGAAGAAGCAGAGGACGGUGAAGUCGUUCAGAGACAAUCAGAUUGAUGUUGUCUUUAUUUAUUUGCCACAGAUGAUACCUCCCUGCUAUGAGCAUGUUUAUGCCAAGCUAUCAGCGUGGUUGACAAAUAAAGUGAUCUUGAUUCUCUCUACGAAAUCAGGUCAAUUAAUAAUAGAUUAUUUUGCUGAAUUACAAACAAGAACUGUAUAGUUAGCACUACACUGUUAAUGGAUAGAUAAUGAGGAAAAGAGUUUGACAUACAUCUGAAAUUUGACAUAUCUGAAAUAUAGUUAGCACUACACAGUAUUUUUAUUAACAGAGAACUCUAAACAGAGGCCUCCGUUAGUGAUAGUAAGCAAAAAAGAAAAGAUUUAGCACCCAAACUCCAAAUAAAUAAUUCUGAAAAUACAACACGGAGAACAUCUUUCUAUGUCUACAGAGUGCAGACCAUCGAGAGAGAAUGUAAACAAGUAAAUUAUCAUGAUGGCAUAUCAUAUACCUUCAUCUUCUUACUCUGGUUCUAAUGAUGCGCCUUUGUAUCUUUUUGGAUCUGCAAUACAAAAUAAAAAACACGUAAAUUAUUAGAUUAACUAUGUUUAUCAAUUUUCGUGAAGAAUAAAAACACAAAAUAAAGUUUUCAUAACAUAUACCUUCAUUUUCGGUGCCGCUGGGGAGGGCAUGGAGGAGAUGAACGACUUCUCUGGUCCGGCCGUGGGGGUGUUGGAAGGUGGCGUUGGCGCAGCUGUGGGGGAGGUGGACGGUGGCGCAGGUGCAGCCGUGGGGUAGGUGGACGUCAGCACUUGUGCAGCUGCGGGAUAGGUGGAUGGCGGCGAUGUUGUGGCUACGAUGGAGGUUGAAGGUGGCGCUGCACCGUCCAUGAAGACGACAGGUGUGGACGACAGCGCCAAGCCGUCCAUGGGAAAGGUCGAAGACAACGCCAAGCCAUCCAUGGGGCCGGCGACGGGGACGGCGGCGGCGGCAGACCUACCCUAUCAUCACGCGAAAGGGGAACGAGAUUAACUGGGUUAGGGAAAAACCUGGGCCAGUUCAUUU